rnacentral:rRNA from 1 species
UAAGGAAUAUUGGUCAGUGGACGCAAGUCUGAACCAGCCAUGCCGCGUGGAGGAUGAAGGUCCUCUGGAUUGUAAACUUCUUUUAUCUGGGACGAAACACUCCUAUUCUUAGGGGCCUGACGGUACCAGAUGAAUAAGCACCGGCUAACUCCGUGCCAGCAGCCGCGGUAAUACGGAGGGUGCAAGCGUUAUCCGGAUUCACUGGGUUUAAAGGGUGCGUAGGUGGGUAUGUAAGUCAGUGGUGAAAUCCCCGAGCUUAACUUGGGAACUGCCGUUGAUACUAUAUAUCUUGAAUGCCGUAGAGGUAAGCGGAAUAUGUCAUGUAGCGGUGAAAUGCUUAGAGAUGACAUAGAACACCAAUUGCGAAGGCAGCUUACUAUGCGGUGAUUGACACUGAUGCACGAAAGCGUGGGUAGCAAACA